rnacentral:rRNA from 1 species
UACGGAGGGGGCUAGCGUUGUUCGGAAUUACUGGGCGUAAAGCGCACGUAGGCGGCUUGUUAAGUCGGGGGUGAAAUCCUGGAGCUCAACUCCAGAAUUGCCUUCGAUACUGGCUUUCUAGAGGCUGGAAGAGGUUAGUGGAAUUCCCAGUGUAGAGGUGAAAUUCGUAGAUAUUCGCAAGAACACCAGUGGCGAAGGCGGCUUACUGGUCCGGUUCUGACGCUGAGGCGCGAAAGCGUGGGGAGCAAACAGG